CUCGUACGCGCGGCCGCCGCGGGCAACGCCGCAGCUGCCUGGCAACGCGCUAGACCCGACCCGGCUCUGCAACUGCGGCCUCCAGAAGCCGCGAGAGGGCAGAACUCCCCGGAAGAGGUGGUUACCGGGCACUUUUUUCACGAUUGCUACCAGAGGUG